UUUUUAAAAAAGCUUCUAACUUUUAACAAAGCAUAUUAAUGUUUAUAUUUCUA
rnacentral:tRNA from 1 species